GUGCCUAUAGUUUAAUGGUAAAACUCCGCUCUGUGGCAGCGGUGACAAGGGUCCGAUUCCCUUUAGGCACCCCU
rnacentral:tRNA from 3 species